AGAGUUUGAUCCUGGCUGAGAACGAACGCUGGCGGCAGGCCUAACACAUGCAAGUCGAGCGCGCCUUCGGGUGAGCGGCGGACGGGUUAGUAACGCGUGGGAACGUGCCCUUCUCUACGGAAUAGCCUCUGGAAACGGAGAGUAAUACCGUAUACGCCCUUUGGGGGAAAGAUUUAUCGGAGAAGGAUCGGCCCGCGUUAGAUUAGGUAGUUGGUGGGGUAACGGCCUACCAAGCCUACGAUCUAUAGCUGGUUUUAGAGGAUGAUCAGCAACACUGGGACUGAGACACGGCCCAGACUCCUACGGGAGGCAGCAGUGGGGAAUCUUAGACAAUGGGGGCAACCCUGAUCUAGCCAUGCCGCGUGAGUGAUGAAGGCCUUAGGGUCGUAAAGCUCUUUCGCCUGUGAUGAUAAUGACAGUAGCAGGUAAAGAAACCCCGGCUAACUCCGUGCCAGCAGCCGCGGUAAUACGGAGGGGGUUAGCGUUGUUCGGAAUUACUGGGCGUAAAGCGCGCGUAGGCGGAUUAGAAAGUUGGGGGUGAAAUCCCGGGGCUCAACCUCGGAACUGCCUCCAAAACUGCUAGUCUAGAGUUCGAGAGAGGUGAGUGGAAUUCCGAGUGUAGAGGUGAAAUUCGUAGAUAUUCGGAGGAACACCAGUGGCGAAGGCGGCU
rnacentral:rRNA from 1 species